AAAGGAUUGGCUACUAAUGUUUUGGUGCCAAAUACCACAGGACAGCUUUGGAGGUCUUGUGGAGUUCAUGCCUCGACAGGGAAACUCAGGAUUACCUAAUGCAGGUCUUCUCCAAUGUGUUCACUCUACUUCAGGAUUUUUUGCUGUCUCUCCCUCUUUGUAACCCUCACAGAAGGUGAAGCAAGGCUGAAAAUUGAAGUUGUACAGCCAAGGUUGUAUGCAGUCCAGGGAGGAUCCAUUCUUUUAUCUGUGAACUACAGUCUCCCAAGCAACUCUGAGCUUCUGGACAUUACUUGGCAACACAGAAGAGACUAUAAGUCUAGAAGAAUUUAUUAUUUUCCCAGCACCUCACCCUUCUUGGAAAGUUACAUAUGGAGAGCACGGGACUUUGAAAAUGGUUCAAUACAGCUCAACAAGUUGAACUUUUCUAUAGUGGAGAGUACAUAUUACUGUUGCAGCACAGAAUGGGCGGGAGAAGAAAGAAGAAGAUGAUCGAGCUGAUUGUGGAAGAUGUUGUCAAAAUAUAUGAUGCUGGCAAUCACCACCAUGAGCAAUUCUUGGAAGUAAUGCAUCACUCAUCUGCACUGCCUUCUCAGCAAAAAAUACAGAGAUGGAGAUGGUAGAUGGAAAAGGCUUGAAGCACUUCACUCUAAUCUUAGCAUUUCUUUAGAGUCUCUAAAACUAAAGGCAUGGAUUGUGGCAACAGAUGACUGCCAACAGUAUACAUGUGUUGUCAAAAACCAUGUUGCGAGC